rnacentral:lncRNA from 1 species
ACAAUCACCUCUGUCUGAUUCAAAGUGAUUAUAAAAGUCAGGCACAGCACACAAACGACCGACAGAAACUAACUUCUACUGCUCGUGAAGGGUUCCUGGUCUAACCAUGUAAACAACAAAUCAUCAGCUGCGAAGCAGCAGAGGUGACAUAUGACACUCCUAUUAUACACUCAAAAUAUUAAGAGGCGAAUUCUCAAAAAGAAGCAGGUGCCAGAAUGGCCAAAGACGUCAAAAAUAAGCCUCAGAGUCUAUGUCUCCCUUCGGGACCUCCGGCGUGGCGCUGCGGUCUCUUCCUUCUCGUCCUCUUUCUCCUCCUUGUCACCACUGCUUCCAGCACCAUCAGUCUCAGUCGCCUUGGGCUUCUUCGCCUCAGCUGCAGGUUUCACAGGAGCCUGCAACAAGCAAAUGUUGUGGGUUGGGCGUUCUCUUCAAGUCUAGGAUGACGAGGGGAGUAAAACAAUCGUUGGGAAGAACUUACCACAGGCUUCUUGCCACCGAACAGGAUCCUGAAGAGCACGGUCACAAAGACAACAACAACCGAGACCAAAAUGCCAAUAGUGAUGUUGGGCUGCUUCUCUCCCUUCUCGAUCACAUCCUGUGUGCAAGAUAUUGAGAGAAGAUGUCACUUUCUAGGUGUGACAUUCAGAUGUUUGACAAGAUAGGUUAGCAAAGAUUUCCAGAACUCACAAUGAUCUUGGUCUUGUAGGGUGCCAAGAAUGGAACAUCAGCAAUCUUGUACAGGAUGUCAAAAACCUUCUUCUGCAAUGCAGAUGGCAAAACAAGUUAGUUAUAAAAUGGAAGUAUGGUCCAGUAAAGAAAUUAACAGUAAUGGCUGUAAUAAAAAGAUAAGAAAAUGAAUUACCUGGAACUCAGAAAGACCAUCUGCACCAGCAGCAGCCUCCUCAGCCUUCUCCUUUUCCUUCUCAACUUCAUAUUUGGGCUUCCAGGUCUUCUCUAGGAUGGAGGUGGCAACCUUCUCAUCAUCAGCAAUCAAAAUAUUGUCAAACAGGAUGCCAUCCUGCAUCGUCCAGAUCUCAAUUCCAAUAGCAGCAAUUGGAUCAAAGUCAGGCUUGUCGAGCUCAAAGUACUCAGGGUUGGGGAUCUCCUGAGGCUUCCAGAUUCCCUUGUAGUUGGGAUUGUCAAUCAGGGGUGCAUGCCACUUGCCCUUGUAAGCAGGGUUCUGCUUCAUUGGCCUCUUCCACUCGCCACACCCAGGUGCCACUUCGCACUUGGGGUUGUCAAUCUUUGGUGCCUCCCAUUCACCAUCCUCCUCAUCAUCCCAGUCCUCAGGCUUGGCUGCCUCUGGAUCAUCAAUUUCCUCAGGCUCAUCAUCCAGCCAUCCCUCAGGCUUGGUGGCUUCCUCAUCCUCAAUUUCCAUUGGAGCAUCCUCAUCCCAGUCAUCAGGCUUCACUGCAUCUGGAUCAGGAAUUUUAGCUCUCUCAUCCCAGUCCUCUGGCUUCUUGUCAUCAGGGUCAGGAAUGGUCUUGGGUGGGAUAAUAGCUGGCUCAAAAUCAUCAGCAGACAGGAAGUUUGCCUUCUUCUUUUCCUCCCCGUCGAUCAAAAUUCUCACCUCAUUGUCUGGCUUCAAGAUAGCCGUGUAGACAUGAGAGAGCUUGUCAUAUGGGACAGAAGGUGGGAACUUGAGGUGAUGCUCGACAUACUUUCCAGUCUUGGGGUUCUUGUGCUUAAGGAUGAAAUGCACCUUGUUGGUUGACCCACACUUGUCUGGGCCAAACAUAAUAGUGUAUGGAGUCUCAUUAUCAAACUCCUUGGCAUCCCAUCCAGCAUCCUGAGGGCGGAUGUACUUAAUAUAGGCACCUCCACACUCAAGGCCAUUCUGGAGCCUCACUUCAAACUGCAGGACUACUGUCCCAUCCUUCAAAGUAACUGGCUCAUCAAGCUCCUUGAUUAUGGCAUAUUUCCUAGCCUUCUCACUAACAAGGAGACCAUAGUCCUCAUGCCCAUCACUCUUGGCAUGCUUCCAUACACCUGCAAACCAGAGUAUGUCUCUUAAUCGAUGACAGUGGUACAAAGAAAAAAUGAACAAAUAGAAAGUUAUGACUAGUGGCAACAAUGUUCAACACUAGCAGAGCAAAAUACCAAAAUCUAACAGGCGCCUAGUCCAAAUAAGUAUUACAAGGUUACUCCGUAUGAAGAAUAUUACAGG